ACCUGCCCAGAAGCGGGGGAUAACACCUGGAAACAGAUGCUAAUACCGCAUAACAACUUGGACCGCAUGGUCCGAGCUUGAAAGAUGGCUUCGGCUAUCACUUUUGGAUGGUCCCGCGGCGUAUUAGCUAGAUGGUGGGGUAACGGCUCACCAUGGCAAUGAUACGUAGCCGACCUGAGAGGGUAAUCGGCCACAUUGGGACUGAGACACGGCCCAAACUCCUACGGGAGGCAGCAGUAGGGAAUCUUCCACAAUGGACGAAAGUCUGAUGGAGCAACGCCGCGUGAGUGAAGAAGGGUUUCGGCUCGUAAAACUCUGUUGUUAAAGAAGAACAUAUCUGAGAGUAACUGUUCAGGUAUUGACGGUAUUUAACCAGAAAGCCACGGCUAACUACGUGCCAGCAGCCGCGGUAAUACGUAGGUGGCAAGCGUUGUCCGGAUUUAUUGGGCGUAAAGCGAGCGCAGGCGGUUUUUUAAGUCUGAUGUGAAAGCCUUCGGCUCAACCGAAGAAGUGCAUCGGAAACUGGGAAACUUGAGUGCAGAAGAGGACAGUGGAACUCCAUGUGUAGCGGUGAAUGCGUAGAUAUAUGGAAGAACACCAGUGGCGAAGGCGGCUGUCUGGUCUGUAACUGACGCUGAAGGCUCGAAAA
rnacentral:rRNA from 1 species